GUGCUCACUUUGGAAGCACAUAUACUAAAAUUGGAAUAGUACAGAGAAGAUUAGCAUGUCCUCUCUGCAAGGAGGACAUGUAAGUUUGUGACACAUUCUAUAUAUUU
ensembl:snRNA U6 U6 spliceosomal RNA